AAGUCGUAACAAGGUUUCCGUAGGUGAACCUGCGGAAGGAUCAUUAACACGUAUCCAACGUUAAACCCCCCCGUGAAUAUUAAUCGUGCUCUUGCAGCCUCCCAACAAAGCAAUCUCUGGUAAAUCACGUCGAACGGUUUGAUUCAGCGACCUCUGGGUUGGUGAUGACAGCUGACGCGAAAGCUGCAAUCGAGCGCUAGGAUCAGUGUGAUGAGGUCGCAUAACGCACGCUGUAGGCCCACACGGGCCGGCGUCCAAAUCACCGGGCGCAAGCCCCCCUAAAACCACAUGUCAGCGUAGGCCCUUCUGUCGUGGUUGGGUGUAAAAACGAACAACUGUUAACAAUGGAUAUCUUGGUUCUC
rnacentral:misc_RNA from 1 species